rnacentral:pre_miRNA from 1 species
UCCGCGAUCAGUGACCACAGCAGCCAAACAAAUACGGUUGUGGGCAUCGAAAGCGGGGA